UAACUGGAAGCUCUCCUCAGCCAGGGGAUAAGAGAGGCCUGGGGGAACCAGCCCAUCCUAGAGGCCUGAGAGAGCAGAUCUGGGGGCACCUCCACCAUGGCCUGGACCCCUCUCCUCCUCACCCUCCUGGCUCACUGCACAGGCUCUGUGGCCUCCUUUGAGCUGACCCAGCCACACUCAGUGUCAGUGGCCCUGGGACAGACAACCAGGCUCACCUGCUCUGGAGGAAAAUUUGAGAACAGUUAUGCUCACUGGUACCAGCAGAAGCCAGAUCAGGCCCCUAAGCUGAUCAUCUAUGAGGAUAGCAAACGGCCCUCGGGGAUCCCUGACCGAUUCUCUGCCUCCAGCUCUGGAAACACAGCCACCCUGACCAUCAGUGGGGUCCAGGCUGAGGAUGAGGCUGACUAUUACUGUCAGUCAUGGGAUAGUGACAGUGAUGCUGCUCACAGUGACACAGGCAGAGGGGGAAGCUCCUUAGAGCAUGUGCCCAGGGUGGGCUUCUGGCUGCAGGACCAGUUCAUUGAGAAAACAGACUCUCCCCAUGGGGUAGAUGUGGCUCACCCCCACUCACUUCUGCAUCUCCACCUGGACAAGGACACCCUGUGCCUGCAGCAGCCAGAGCAGAGCAGCCACCAGGGGGCAGCAGAGAGUGACCUGGCAAAGCCCCUGGAGUUGGGGGUCCCUGGACAUCAGGGGGAUUCUCACAUGCAGGGAAGGUCAGUGAUACUGAACCCAGACCUGAAGGAGCAGGUGUCCUUUCUCUGCAGGAUCAUCCUGGACAAAUUCUGCUUUUGA